rnacentral:tRNA from 1 species
UGCAUAACUCAGUGGCAGAGUGCUUGCCUAGCAUGCAUGAAGCCCUGAGUUCAAACCCCAGCACUGCAA